AGGACGUGACGUAUAUAUAUCCGGUGUUCCCAUUGGCUCACACAGUGGAGCCGUUCAGUCCUUCUCAGGGCGUCUCCACCCUCACUUUGCUGCUCUAACUAAAAACUACAAACUACAAACUACACACUAUGCGACAAACUACACACUGUGCGUGACGACACUGCGCCGAUUGCUUUGAUGUAAGUACAACUGUUUCCGGUGUGUUGAGUUGUUUUUGUUGCGGCUAGCAGGCUAACCUUCAUGCUAACCUCAAUGCUAACGUAGCUUCACACUGGACCGAACUCGCCACGGUCACGUUAACCGCACUGUGACGAGUGUGUUGGUUUGCUCGCUCGCUGCUGGACCCAGCCGGGGCUGGUCGGUGUCUGAGGAGCUAACGCAGCUAGUUGUUAGCAGAUUCACAGACUCAUCUCAUUAACAGCGACAGGAGCUCCUUUAAACCCGUCAGCUGAUCCCGGGACUUGGACUAAUACCGACCACAUCCGGUCUGGAUAUGACCUCGGGUGGAGUCUUCCCGCUGUAGGCAGACGGUGGAGGAGCAUCUCACCCUCAGGGGCCAUAGUUCAUUACCCAGUCGGGCUCGAACAGACAGGUUGACAGGUAGAGGUGCACCUGGCCGCAGGUCCACAUGGGGAACAGCGCGCUCAAGUCUCACCUGGAGACUUCCCAGAAGACCGGGGUGUUCCAGCUGACAGGAAAAGGACUGCAGGAGUUUCCAGAGGAGCUGCAGAGACUCACCAGUAACCUGAGGACGGUGGACCUGUCCGGGAACAAGAUCGAGGUUCUUCCUGCCGCCAUUGGAAACUUCCUGCAGCUCAAGAGUCUGACGCUCAACUGCAACAAACUGACCAGUGUUCCCAGUGAGAUCGGGAAGCUGAAGAAGCUGGAGACCCUGAGUCUGAAUGGGAACCGGAUCCAGCAGCUGCCCCCCGGUCUGGGCCAGCUCAAAGCCCUGCGGACCCUCAGUCUGGCCGGGAACCAGAUCUCAGAGUUCCCCCCCGGACUGGCGACCCUGAGGCAACUGGAUCUGCUGGACCUGUCCCGAAACCAGAUCCAGAACGUCCCUGAGCAUGUGUCUGAGCUGCAGGCUAUCGAGAUCAACCUCAACCAGAACCAGAUCUCGGUGCUGUCGGCGGAGGUGUCCCGGUGUCCUCGUCUGAAGGUCCUUCGUCUGGAGGAGAACUGUCUGGAGCUGUCAUCCAUCCCUCUGUCCAUCCUCUCCGACUCCCAGGUGUCUCUGUUCUCUGUGGAGGGAAACCUGUUCGAGGUGAAGAAGCUCCGAGACCUGGAAGGAUACGACAAGUACAUGGAGCGAUUCACAGCCACUAAGAAGAAGUUUACCUGAUGACCCUCUGUGACGAGUCAGUCGGAGAUGUGGUCAGCCCAGACUCCGCCCAACCCCCCCGCCCCCACAGCUGCUUCUUCUUCUGCUAAAAACCGGAUGUCACAGCUCAGUACUACUCACAGCGCCCCCCAUCUGCUGGACCACUAGUGAGACCUGCUGCUGCUGCAGGUCUGAGGACAUUUAACAGAACACAGGUUUGAUCCAGAGGACACGACGUCUCCUUUUCUUUAUGUUGACCGGGGCUGCAGCCAAUCAGAUUCACCUGAUUCUGUAUUUCCUGAUUGAUUGAUUGAUUGAUUGAUUGAUUGAU